rnacentral:rRNA from 1 species
CCUACGGGCGGCUGCAGUGAGGAAUAUUGGUCAAUGGACGGAAGUCUGAACCAGCCAUGCCGCGUGCAGGAAGACGGCUCUAUGAGUUGUAAACUGCUUUUGUACAAGGGUAAACCUGAAUACGUGUAUUCAGCUGAAAGUACUGUACGAAUAAGGAUCGGCUAACUCCGUGCCAGCAGCCGCGGUAAUACGGAGGAUCCAAGCGUUAUCCGGAUUUAUUGGGUUUAAAGGGUGCGUAGGCGGAUUGAUAAGUUAGAGGGGAAAUGUCCGAGCUUAACUCGGGAACUGCCUCUAAUACUGUUGAUCUAGAGAGUAGAUGCGGUAGGCGGAAUGUAUUGUGUAGCGGUGAAAUGCUUAGAGAUCAUACAGAACACCGAUUGCGAAGGCAGCUUACCAAUCUAUAUCUGACGUUGAGGCACGAAAGCGUGGGGAGCAAACAGGAUUAGAUACCCGAGUAGUC